UAUGCACUCCCUCUGUCCGGAAAUACUUGUCCUAGAAAUGGAUGUAUCUACACUUAUUUUAGUUAUAGAUACAUUCAUUUUAUUCAUUUCUAGGACAAGUAUUUCCGGAUGGAGGGAGUACUAU
rnacentral:pre_miRNA from 1 species